rnacentral:rRNA from 1 species
UACGGAAGGGGCAAGCGUUGUUCGGAAUCAUUGGGCGUAAAGGGCGCGUAGGUGGUCUUGUGUGUCUACCGUGAAAGCGUACGGCUCAACCGUAUUUAGUCGGUAGAAACUGCAGGACUUGAGGCUGGGAGGGGCUGGUGGAAUUCCCUGUGUAGCGGUGAAAUGCGUAGAGAUGGGGGAGAACACUCGUGGCGAAGGCGGCCAGCUGGACCAGUUCUGACACUGAGGCGCGAUAGCGUGGGGAGCAAACAGG